AGCCUGCAUCUUUCUUAUAAAUACCCCCUGACUUCUGGCAUUGUGGAGGGAGGAAAAAAACAAGCUGCUUGCCAUGCUGGCCCUCUUCAGACAUCAGUUCACAGACUUGAGGAGUAGCCUGAGAAGGAAAGAGAGAUCUCUGAAGUGAAAAGUGCCCUGUGAUGAGAUACUGGAGCCAAAGAGACACAGACUGCUCCCGGACUCCCUGCCUGUGGAUAAGAAACUCCAGUUGACACUUAUGACUUUUGCUUGACCCCAAGAAGCAGUCUGGAAGAACACAGGAGGACUGGAGCAGACGACAUCCUGAGCAUCCAAGGUGCUGGGCAUGGUGCUGCUGGCCGGGCACUUCCAGCUCUCCUCAUAAAUCAUUAACUACUCCAGAGCGACUGGUGAAGCGUGAAAGGAUAUCAGCAAUUACCUCAUGCCCUAGAGGAGCAGAUCCUGUUGGACAAAUGAGAAAGUAUCUGGGGAUAACCAUAUAACUAGAAUAAUUAAAUGCUCUUUUAUGCUUGUUAAAUUCAGGGUUAUAUUCAUGAUUUUCCCUUCACCCCAAUCAAACUGGGGGUAAUUAACUUGAAGGCAUCAUUACCAGCACUGACUCACCUCGGUGUUUGCAUGAGCACAGUGAAGCACUGAUGGGUUUUAUUGCACGGACAUGAAUGUAAAAGCGAGUGCAAGGAAAAAGAGAAACAGAAUCUUUGCCACAUACAGGCAAGGGAGAAUCUUCAGGUGAUGCACCGAACUCCCAACUGCUGGGAGAUGGCACUACUGAAGAUGCUCUGCAGCAGUGACCAAUGGAUGCUGACUUCUGCUCAGUGUUCUGAUAAAGGUGGCCACAUCAGAUUGCCACAUCAAGUGGCUUUUGAAAUGCUCUUUAUUUUCAGAUUAGGAUUUAAUGGAGAAAUAGGAUUGUCGGAGUCAGAGCCUACUUCAAAAGCCUGAAUUGUUUCUAUCUUUAGAA